rnacentral:rRNA from 1 species
AUGGCUCGAGCAAGAGUGAUCGCAGCGCUGGCUGUGGCGAUACUGGGCUGCGCGUUGGCCGCCGCCGCGGACGACAUCCCGCAGCCCCCUGCGUCCGGGGGACUGCUGAAGGCGCACGCCACAUUCUACGGCGGCGCCGAUGGCGCUGGCACCAUGGGCGGUGCGUGCGGGUACGGCAACCUCUACUCGGCCGGGUACGGCACGAGCACGACGGCGCUCGGAAUGACGGCGCGUCGUGCGGGCAGUGCUACAAGAUCGCGUGCGACAGCAAGCGGGUGGACCCCAGGUGGUGCAAGCUCGGCGAGGCGGCGACCGUCACGGCCACCAACUUCUGCCCGCCCAACUACGACCGGCCGAGCGACGACGGUGGCUGGUGCAACCCGCCGCGGCCGCAUUUCGACAUGGCGCAGCCGGCCUGGGAGAAGAUCGGCGUCUAUCGGGCCGGCAUCAUCCCCGUCGUAUACCAAAUGGUGCCGUGCGUGA